GGAGGCGAGCUGUGAAUCUGGAGGAUGACAUCACUCUACCAACAAGGAUUACUUUAGGGCCAGACUCACGCUGUUUGUUCCAGACCAGGACUCUGGCUGAGGAGAGCUGAUGGAGGAGCCAAGACACGAGCCAAGAGGACGACAUCACUCCACCAACCAGGAUCCUCAGACAAAUUACGUUUGUAACCAGACCAGGAAU